GGAUCAGGAACAGCUGGAACGCCGAGCCGAUCAGCGCGGCGUUGAGGGCGGUGGCACGGGGCAGGUCGAGCUGCUCGGCCAGGUACACGAGGAUGAACAGGGCGAAGGUGGAGAAGGCGAUGUCGGUCUCGGGCGAUGGUCAGCCGGAUCCACAGGCCGACGGCGAUCAGGGCGCCACUGAGCAGGGAGGGACCCGCCAGCCCCAGGACUCGAAGGCGGCGUCGGACAGGGCGGCCGACAUGAUGCCGAGCACGCCCGCGGCCAGCAGGUUGCCGGCGGGCACGCCGACCUGCGGCCAGCUUGCGUUCCAGGCCAGCAGCGGGCCGGUAAGCGGGUCG
rnacentral:misc_RNA from 1 species